rnacentral:tRNA from 1 species
UGGGAUAUAGCCAAAAGGUAAGGCAGUGAUUUUUGAUGUCAUUAUGUAAGGGUUCGAGUCCUUUUAUCCCAA